rnacentral:rRNA from 1 species
CCUACGGGAGGCAGCAGUGAGGAAUAUUGGUCAAUGGGCUUACGCCUGAACCAGCCAAGUCGCGUGAGGGAAGACUGCCCUAUGGGUUGUAAACCUCUUUUGUCAGGGAGCAACGCCGGCUACGUGUAGCCUGACUGAGAGUACCUGAAGAAAAAGCAUCGGCUAACUCCGUGCCAGCAGCCGCGGUAAUACGGAGGAUGCGAGCGUUAUCCGGAUUUAUUGGGUUUAAAGGGUGCGUAGGCGGAAUGCCAAGUCAGCGGUAAAAUCGCGGGGCUCAACCUCGCUCCGCCGUUGAUACUGGCGUUCUUGAGUGGGCGAGAAGUAUGCGGAAUGCGUGGUGUAGCGGUGAAAUGCAUAGAUAUCACGCAGAACUCCGAUUGCGAAGGCAGCAUACCGGCGCCCAACUGACGCUGAAGCACGAAAGCGUGGGUAUCGAACAGGAUUAGAUACCCCAGUAGUC